GAGCCUGGCCAAGGAUUCCCAGGUGUUCUCAGUCCCUUUUCAGGACAGAACACAGGCCACUCACGAUGGGUUUUGGGCUCAGCUGGGUUUUCCUUGCUGCUAUUAUAAGAGGUGUCCAGUGUGAUGUGCAGCUGGUGGAGUCUGGGGGAGGCUUGUUGAAGCCUGGUGGGUCUCUGAGACUCUCUUGUGCAGCCUCUGGAUUCACAUUCAGUAGAAGCCCAAUGAACUGGGUCCGCCAGGCUCCAGGGAAGGGGCUGGAGUGGGUUUCAUACAUUAGUCAUGAUGGUAGUAGAACAUACUAUGCCAGCUCUGUGAAAGGCCGAUUUACCAUCUCCAGAGACAAUGGCAAGAACAUGCUCUAUUUGCAAAUGAACAGCCUGAGAGCUGAGGACACAGCCAUGUAUUACUGUGCGAGUGGCACAGUGAGGUGGUAGAACUUA